rnacentral:rRNA from 1 species
UACAGAGGUCCCAAGCGUUGUUCGGAUUUACUGGGCGUAAAGGGUGCGUAGGCGGUUGGGUAAGUCUGACGUGAAAUCUCCGGGCCUAACCCGGAAACUGCGUUGGAUACUACCUGACUAGAGGAAUGGAGGGGAGACUGGAAUACUUGGUGUAGCAGUGAAAUGCGUAGAUAUCAAGUGGAACACCAGUGGCGAAGGCGAGUCUCUGGACAUUUCCUGACGCUGAGGCACGAAAGCCAGGGGAGCAAACAGG